UACGUAGGCAGCGAGCGUUGUUCGGAGUUACUGGGCGUAAAGGGUGUGUAGGCGGUCCCUUAAGUUUGGUGUGAAAUCUCCCGGCUCAACUGGGAGGGUGCGCCGGAUACUGAGGGGCUAGAGUGCGGGAAGGGAAAGUGGAAUUCCUGGUGUAGCGGUGAAAUGCGUAGAUAUCACUCGGAAGGCCAAAGGCGAAGGCAGGUUACUGGUACGCAACUGACGCUGAGGCACGAAAGCGUGGGGAGCAAACAGG
rnacentral:rRNA from 1 species